rnacentral:siRNA from 1 species
CCUCCAUUGGUGUAUCUUAGAUG